rnacentral:lncRNA from 1 species
UUGAGUGAACGGGUAUGGAUGGCCCAUUAGCCAUAGACGGUUGGGGUGUUACAAGUGGUAUCAGAGCCGGACCUAGGAGAGUGUUGAAUCAGUGAGGGCUCAUACUGACAUGGAUAACGAUCAUGGGCGUAACGAAGGCGUUGCGUUUUUGAGAGGGGGUGAAUUGUAACAUCCCGGUUUAUGGUAUAUGGAAAGACUUAAGAGAAUUGAUUUGGUUACCUAUGUCACCAAAGUGUAGUUACAUUUUUCGUCACACAUCUGUUAAGAACUCCAGGGUUAAGGGUGCUUGAACUAGAGUAAUGGAAUUAUGGGUGACCUAUCGUAAGUGAUUCGCGAUACCAUAUGAGGCCACCACACGAAGAAAUGUCAUGUGGUGAUUAUAAAAGCAGUAAACAAUGAUUUCGAACCUUUGAAAUGUGGAUGGUUACGGCGUUACAGAUUCAACCAAAUCUUGAAAAAGUUUGGCCCAUAAA